UUCGGGGAGCGGCAGGCUGCUCCUUCGGCGGGAAGGUCUAUGCCUUGGACGAGACGUGGCACCCGGACCUGGGGGAGCCCUUCGGGGUGAUGCGCUGCGUGCUGUGCGCCUGCGAGGCGCCUCAGUGGGGUCGCCGUACCAGGGGCCCUGGCAGGGUCAGCUGCAAGAACAUCAAACCAGAGUGCCCAACCCUGGCCUGUGGGCAGCCGCGCCAGCUGCCGGGACACUGCUGCCAGACCUGCCCCCAGGAGCGCAGCAGUUCGGAGCGGCAGCCGAGCGGCCUGUCCUUCGAGUAUCCGCGGGACCCGGAGCAUCGCAGUUAUAGCGACCGCGGAGAGCCAGGCGCUGAGGAGCGGGCCCGUGGUGACGGCCACACGGGUAGGGGGCUGGCGAACAGCGGGGUUGUGGUUGAGGCUGGGCCACCAAAGCGGCGUUUGACAGUGCUCAGGCCAUCUUCCUCCCGUCCCAGACUUCGUGGCGCUGCUGACAGGGCCGAGGUCGCA
rnacentral:sRNA from 1 species